rnacentral:misc_RNA from 1 species
AACUUUCAACAACGGAUCUCUUGGCUCUCGCAUCGAUGAAGAACGCAGCGAAAUGCGAUACGUAAUGGGAAUUGCAGAAUUCAGUGAAUCAUCGAAUCUUUGAACGCACCUUGCGCCCCUUGGAAUUCCGAGGGGCACACCCGGUUGAGUGUCGUGAACAUCCUUCUACCUUUCUUGGUUUCUUGACCGGGGAAGGCUUGGACUUUGGGGGUCUUUUAUUGCUGGCCUCUUUGAAGCCAGCUCCUCCUAAAUGGAUUAGUGUGGUCUGCUUUGCCGAUCCUUGACGUGAUAAGAUGUUUCUACGUCUUGGGUUUCGCACUGUCGCUUUAGACCCCGCUUCUAACCGUCUUGCAUUCAAGACAGAGUUUUAAACCUUGACCUCAAAUCGGGUGAGACUACCCGCUGAACUUAAGCAUAUCAAUAAGCGGAGGCU